UACAGAGGGGGGCAAGCGUUGUUCGGAAUUAUUGGGCGUAAAGGGCGCGUAGGCGGUGCGGUAAGUCACUUGUGAAAUCUCCGGGCUCAACCCGGAGCCUGCAAGGGAAACUGCCGUGCUUGAGUGUGGGAGAGGUGAGUGGAAUUCCCGGUGUAGCGGUGAAAUGCGUAGAUAUCGGGAAGGAACACCUGUGGCGAAAGCGGGCUCACUGGACCACAACUAGACGCUGAUGCACGAAAGCUAGGGGAGC
rnacentral:rRNA from 1 species